rnacentral:lncRNA from 1 species
AGAGGGGGUUGGGAGCCGACCAGUUGCCAUGGCCCUGGGAUCUGCUGCACUAUUCGUCUUGACCCUGACUGUCCAUGCGGCUGGCACAUGCCCAGGUGAGAAGGACUCUAAGUCCCUGAGAGCAGGUUAACUACCCACUCAGUGCCUUCUAGUGUCCCUGUGCCCACCUCUUCUGAGAAGCUCCUGUCAGCUCAGUGUCACCCUCUGAGGACAGACUCUGAGCAGCUAGCACUGGCUCAGGUGGAGACUCUGUGGGCCUGUGAUGCUGACCCUGAGGCCUUCAGCCUGACCCUAGGAACUUCACAGACGAAGAUGACACCUAUGUUUUCCACCUUCUUAGGGACUUUGGAGAGAGAUGCUAGGAUCCUCUACUUUGUGGCUGCCACAUCCCCUUGGUAACUUUGGUAAAGAUGCAUCCCAGAGUCUCCUGGUACAUAUGGGCAAGGAUUUGGGGUUGGAGAAUAUUCCUGAUCAGCUCUGCUCUGAUAUCCCCUGGGGAUAUUACUCCUAAGCACAGGGCAACUGUCUCAAGUGGUGACAUGGUUAGAGAAGGGACUAAAACAGCAAGACACAGCCCACCCACUGCAGGGGAAAGAGCCCAGCAGGGAAACUGGACAGGGAAACACCUACGAGGUCUCAACCCUACACAAAGAGCUCCAGGCAGCUAAGGAAUGCUGGGAGCCAGAGAGGUGGUCCUUUCCAUCAAUUGAUUGUCUAGUGCUGUACUGUGAGCCCUGUAAACAUACUCACAAGUAACAUUAUAUGGGCUCAACAGGUUAUAUUUGGGAAUUUAUAUGUAUAUAAAUAUACAUAUAUUAUAUGUGUAUGAAUAAACAAUAACAAUUUAUGAAAAACAAGGCCAUGAAUUUGAGCAUGGAGUUUGGGAGGAUUUGGAGGAUUUGGAGAAAGGGAAGGGAGAGUUGUCAUAAUUAUAAUCCCCCCAAACCAAACC